UUUUCUUGUGAAAUCCCAAGACUGCGUUGCUCAUAUUUGUUUAAAGACUUUGGUCCCUCUGAUUUGUAUUUUCAGUCCUGUUGUUUUCCAUUUCCUACAGGGUCCAGAGUUCAUCCAGUCCGUCACAGUCGGAGGAGAUCUACAAAUGAGUGCAGAGAAGCUUCCUUUUGCACGUCUCGCCUGAGAUCGAAACUUCAUGUAAUGCUGUCAUUCUGUGCGCACGUUAACCCAUGCAGAAGCAUUCUCCAAAACACUUGUUACGUCACAUGUCAGUGUUUCAAACAUCCUCCAUUGAUUCUGUCAGGCGCUCUGUAUUCUUCACAUCCAUUGUGUCAGGAUGUGCCACCGCACCACUGUCUUCCAGGAAGUGAACGAGCAAAGUGUACUCUUUGGUGUUAGGAUGAAGAGAGUGAGGGAGAAGGGUAUUCCUGCACAACCGGAGGCUGCAGUUUCAGGACUGAAGUUCUUGGACCGCAGUUUUAGGACCCUCGUUUUUUUGUGACCGCGCCACCUACCGUACUGGAUCAACACUAAUUAAAGAUGGACGACGUGGACAGCAAUCAGACGGUGAGUACCGAUAUUUAAUUAAGUUUUAUUUUAUAACGUUUAAGCGGUGCGAAGUUUACAUACUGAGAACUGCUAACUGUGAAUUAAUAAUUAAUUCCCACCAAAUUAAGAAUUUGUGAGCUAGUUUUUACUACGACGUUAAUUCGUGGCCAUGAUUUCAUAAAUCCAUGUUGAGUUUUAGUGACGAAGUAUUAUAAGUGAAUCUACCCAGCACAUUAAUUAAACUUAUCCGAUGACAAGAGCAUGGUUGAUGUAUGGUUUGUAAGAUUUACCUGCAGCUUAAUGUAUUAGUGUGAAUACUGGCUUAGUCGUUGUUACCAUAUUUAUGUAUAAAAUAUCUUUCAUAAUUGAACUGCACUGACUGAUGUGUUAGCCUGUUGUUUUGGCAUUGUUUUGCAAUGAUGAAUGAGGCAUUUGGCAGUUUUAAUAGCUUGUUACAAUUUGGCCUAAUCUGCAGGCCUACUCCACACACAGUCCAUUGUUAUCAUGUGUUAGUUUCUGUCAUGUUCUGCAUGGCCAAUAUGAAGUGAUUUUAUGGAUUUGGUUAGGCCCAUUGUAGGACAGAUGAUUAUAAAA
rnacentral:lncRNA from 1 species